GGUUUCCAUCAAGUUGUUGUUUAGAAAACAUGCCACGACUUCGUGACAGCCUCGACGCUCCUGACCGGUCUACAAAACUAUAUAUUAUACGCGUAAAUGAAUAUUCCAACUGGUUCUAGGUGCGUGUUUUCAGAUCUACAACUAAAUUCGAAGUUCGAACUCAAAUUUCCUUAUGCUGGAGGUAGGUACGUAGUUGAUAUAGACUAUAAACAAUUUGACUAAAAUUUUUAUUGGGGAAAGAACUAGCUAGGAAAGGGUGGUGGGGUGAGAACCCAAAAGCGUAAAGUCCUCGACAUGUUGUUAAUUACUUAAGUACUCUUUAAAUUAACCAAAUUAAGAACUUAAUCCAGCUAAUUCAGACUAGCUAUAUAUUCUCUUGCUUCUCCUAUAUUAUCACUACCAUCAUCAUGAAUCCAUCAUCACCACCAUCAUACAUGAAAGUUGUAUUAUAUAUCUAACCAAAUUAUCGAUUUGAACGAGUAAAUAUGAUAUUCAUUUUAGAACCCGCCUUCGAUGAUAAUGGCUGGUAACCUUAAGGUGACGACAGCCAAUGAACAUAGAACAACUGUCUAUUUUAAAAAGCUUGAUUGCAAUUUAAGGACAUCAGUCUUGAUCACCUGGUCAGUAAUUGACCAAAAGAUUUAUGAUCAGUCACCCUUGGAUGUAAAUCUAAUGACGGAGAAAAUUAUUUUUAAGUAGAGUUGUUUUGUUUUUAGCCUUUAGAUGUAAAUCCAACGGUGGUUAACUAUGAUUUUCUUGGUCAGUAACUGACCAGGUGAAUACUACUGUAAGGACAUAACAUGAGAGUUUUAGGUAUUUGACAUGUUUGUUUACAAUUAUUGUUAACACUUGUCAAUCUCUCAUUCGUGUUUGUCACUUAUAAAUGACUAUAACUUGUCACCCAAGUUAUUUCCUUUAUUUUAAGGCAACUCUCUGUAAUCUGUAUGUAUUCUUUCUCUGACGAUGUCAAGGCAUACCCACAUUUUCGAUCGAUUUUCUAAUACUGGAAAAUAAUAUAUGUACAACUUAUAUCAUCAUAUAUAACACUGAUACAAAUUAUUAAUUAACAUAUCUUUUACUUCUGGCAGCCAUUAUAUUACGUACCCAGUUGCAUAAUGGAUUUGGUAGAAAAGUUUUAAAACCUCUCCACUAACACUAUCAAUUUAAUUUAAAAAAAAAAACAUAUGAUUCUAAGAAGUAAAUUCAAUUGAUCAACCUAAUCUUUGUCACAUGGCUGGCUAGAGUCUCAACUACUCUUGAAAGAAAACAAUUUUGCGCUAUAUGGUGUAUACUCGCAGCAGAAGAGAAACGAAUUCCCACACUCAUUUCUACCUAGCUAGAUUGCAUAUCAAGCUUUCCCGUACAAAGACAAAUUUUUAACUAGGGUCACAUUUCAAUUAACAAAUUAACAAUCACAUAAGAUUGUUGAAGAAACAAGAGUAAUUUGUUAGGGGAAAAAAAUUGUGCUGAUCACAGUCCUAUUCUGUUAAAUGAAAAGACCAAGAAAUCAUGAAAGAGAACAAGAUGAUAUGACUGCUUAAUUGGCCGGGGUAGCUUUAAAUCUAGUAUAUUCCUCUAUAGAAGGAGAUUCCAAGUUCUGAUUUAUAUAUAGCACCUGAUUGAUUCUGAUUAAUUUAUCUUAAUUACUUCCUUCGUCAACCGAUCGAACAACAACUUGUCUGUUUCUAUACUGAUCUCAAUCAGAAGUACUGUACAACCAAAGAUUCAUUAUAAAAGCAAACCUCAUUCGAGCUUCAACAUCAUACCUAAACCUCAGAGGCCAUGGCUUCUCUGUCACAUUCACCAGUGAUCGCCACCACAAGCACCAUUCCCAGUACUACAACUUCUUUGUCUUCCUUCUCUCACAAGAAUUCCCAAAUUUCCUUAAUUCAGAAACCUAAGCAUUCCUACGCAUGGAGCAGAGUCUCAUGCAAAGCCACAAACAGUGACCAAAACCCUUCCAACAACUCCAACGAUGCACAACCUCUAGGCAGAACCCUAGACCGGAGAAAUGUACUUCUCGGUCUCGGAGGACUGUACGGAGUGGCCGGUCUCGGCACCGACCCUUUUGCCUUUGCCAAGCCUGUGGCUCCUCCUGACGUCUCCAAAUGUGGAGCCGCAGACUUGCCUACAGGUGCGCAAAAAACUGAUUGUUGCCCGCCGGUAGCCAAAAAGAUAUUCGAUUUCCAGCUCCCACCUCAGUCUAAACUCCGCGUCAGGCCAGCGGCUCACGCUGUUGACAAAGCCUACAUCGAGAAAUACUCCAAGGCCAUCGAGCUCAUGAAAGCUCUCCCUGAUGAUGAUCCACGCAGCUUCAAGCAACAAGCAAACAUUCACUGUGCUUAUUGUGACGGAGCUUACGACCAAGCUGGCUUUCCUGAUCUUGAGCUCCAAAUCCACGGCUCGUGGCUAUUCUUUCCCUUCCACCGAUACUACUUGUACUUCUAUGAGAGAAUCCUGGGCAAAUUGAUCAACGACCCGUCGUUCGCCUUGCCUUUCUGGAACUGGGAUGCUCCGGCUGGCAUGCAACUCCCAGGCAUGUUUGCCAAUCCUAAGUCGCCGCUCUACGACAAGUUCCGAAACGCCAACCAUCAGCCGCCGAAGCUCAUUGAUCUCAAUUACAAUCUCAAGGAUGCAAACGUCUCUGACGAAACUCAAAUCAACACCAACCUCAAGAUCAUGUACAGGCAAAUGGUGUCCAACGCCAAGAACCCUAAGCUGUUCUUUGGAAACCCUUAUAGGGCUGGGGACGAGCCUAGCCCCGGAGGCGGAGCAAUAGAGACUACUCCACAUGGACCGGUCCACAUUUGGACCGGUGACAACACACAGCCGAAUCUUGAGGACAUGGGAAACUUCUACUCUGCCGGUAGAGACCCUAUAUUUUUCUCUCAUCACUCUAACGUUGACCGUUUGUGGACUGUGUGGAAAACCCUAGGAGGCAAGAGAGAGGAUUUCACCGACUCUGAUUGGUUGGAUUCCGGGUUUUUGUUCUAUGACGAGAACGCAAAUAUGGUGCGGGUGAAGGUACGAGACUGCCUUGAUUCCAAGAAGCUAGGGUAUGUGUACCAAGACGUUGACAUCCCAUGGACAAGCCACAAGCCAACUCCACGUAGAGUCAAGGAUGUCAUCAAGAAAUUUGGUCACAAGCUCCACGGCCACGGUGUUGCUCACGCCGCGGAGACUUCUACCAAGGUGGUGGCGGGGGCUCAUUUUCCGAUAAGCUUGGCGUCAAAGAUUAGUAUUGCGGUGGCUAGGCCGCAGCAGAAGAAGAGGAGCCAGAAGGAGAAGGACCAUGAGGAGGAGGUACUGGUGAUUCAAGGGAUUGAGUUUGACAGGGACGUCGGGGUGAAGUUUGAUGUGUAUGUGAACGAUGAGGAUGACUUGCCUAGUGGACCGGAUAAGAGUGAGUUUGCCGGGAGCUUUGUGAGUGUGCCGCACAGGCAUAAGCAUACCAAGAAGAUUAACACUGUCUUGAGGUUAGGGUUGACAGAUUUGCUGGAAGAUUUGGAUGCCGAGGACGAUGAAACUAUCGUGGUAACUUUGAUUCCAAGGUAUGGGGCUGAGCAUGUCAAGAUUGGUGGCAUCAAGAUUGAGUUUGCUGAUUAAAUCAGUGUUGUGCUUCUCCAAUUUGGUGAUUACUUCUUGGCUUUCGAAUAAUCAAAUGUACGUUUAUAAAUAAUCAUGACUGUGUGGCAUGCAGUUUCGUGCAUUUUCUCCAAUGGAAAAACUAUAUAUAUACCUUCUUUGUUUAGCAAUGUAUGAUGAAGUUAAUCAUUAAUUUUUUCAGGUUGUUUGUCUUAGUUGCAACCUAACCGAUUAGAAAAGCAAGUGUACGUGAUCUUCCUUAAUUUGUGCGAUCGAUUUUGGUAGAAGCACGUAUACACUAAAUCAUUGGAGCUAGUUAAUCCUUCUAUGAGGGUGCAAUUGUGUUUUUCUUACUAUUCAAAAAUAACUAGUCUUUAUGGGAAAAUUCUGCUAUACCGUUUGCUAAUAUUUCAUGACAAAAUCUCUUCAACUAACCACCACCCUGGCUAAACAGGGCCUCCAUUUAGUCAGAGAUGUAUGCUAUACUGAACGGUAUAGCAGACAAAUCCCUCUUUAUAGGGAUAUGAUGAAACUUGAACAAUCUUAGUUAUAUCCUUAUUAUAUACAAGAAAAUCUUAGUUAUUUAUGUAACCAUGGUUUGAACACCUUCUAAAAGCUACCCAAGAUGCCAUUGCCCUCUAACUAAUUCAAAUGGAGUUGACGAAAAUGUUUAAAGUUAUCGAAUGGAGUUGACUAAUAUUCAGAUGUGCAAUUGCUAUUGAAAUAUAUAUUUUCAAACCAAAUUGCUAUCGAUCUGUCCCAAUUUCAGGCAAUACAUAUUGCUCAAAUCGUGGAUCAACGUGGACUAUUAGUAUUAUGUACUUGGUCUAGUCAUUAACUGCUACAUAUAUAAAGAAAAAAACUAAGAUAUAAGUAGAAAAUUAGAAACCAAUAACUGUGAUCGAUCAUUUCUAUUAUAUAUACCAGAACGUUGGAAAUACAGGACAUACCUUAUAAUAGCGUGCUCUCAAUGACUCUUAAAUCCUGUUGCCGGAAACAUUUUAAAAUCUUGAAUACCCAGCUAGCUUCCUGCAUAAUGGUCACCUUACCGAUCGAUAUAUACACACACAAUUCUUACCUGUACUGCUGCUGUACAUGUUCAAGAAAGAGCUAGCUAGAUCGAUGGAGAAGUACUAUUGCUGCGCGCAUAUAUUUUUACAACUUAGAUAUCCUUAUAUACAGGUUUUUGUUCUAUGCCAAUCUCAAUUUUGCGCCAUUGAAGUACAAUUACUAUUCUCGAUCUAAACUUCUAAAGCACGUACUGCUAGUACAAUGCACGUACUGCUGGUAGUCUAGUACAAUGCAGUACGUACUGGCGCGCACUG
rnacentral:lncRNA from 1 species